rnacentral:rRNA from 1 species
GUAGCAUACCGCUGACGACCGGCGCACGGGUGAGUAACACGUAUCCAACCUACCCCCUCACAGGGAUAGCCUUUCGAAAGAAAGGUUAAUACCCGACAGUAUAGCGAUAAGGCAUCUUAUUGCUAUUAAAGAAUUUCGGUGUUUGAUGGGGAUGCGUUCCAUUAGAUUGUUGGUGAGGUAACGGCUCACCAAGUCUUCGAUGGAUAGGGGUUCUGAGAGGAAGGUCCCCCACAUUGGAACUGAGACACGGUCCAAACUCCUACGGGAGGCAGCAGUGAGGAAUAUUGGUCAAUGGACGAGAGUCUGAACCAGCCAAGUAGCGUGAAGGAUGAAGGCCCUAUGGGUCGUAAACUUCUUUUAUAGGGGAAUAAAGUGCGGAACGUGUUCCGUUUUGUAUGUACCCUACGAAUAAGGAUCGGCUAACUCCGUGCCAGCAGCCGCGGUAAUACGGAGGAUCCGAGCGUUAUCCGGAUUUAUUGGGUUUAAAGGGAGCGUAGGUGGACGUAUAAGUCAGUUGUGAAAGUUUGCGGCUCAACCGUAAAAUUGCAGUUGAUACUGUAUGUCUUGAGUGUACAAGAGGUGGGCGGAAUUCGUGGUGUAGCGGUGAAAUGCUUAGAUAUCACGAAGAACUCCGAUUG